AUCACCAGGGGGUUGUCUCCACAGAGACAAAGGAACUUUUCCCUCCGCUUCAGAUCGCGGACUUUCAUUGGCUGUUUACGCGAAAAGAGGCGGGGACCAUCUCAAGCCAUAAGAACGACCGAACAAGGUCCGCCCUCUCUCUUCCGCUCUUCUUACGCUGACUCCCUUCCCUCCUGCAUCGACCAACGUUGCUUCCGCACGGCCUUAGGCCGCGCUCAUAGCGCAAGCCCCCUCAGCACAGGGGCUGAGAGAAAAAGCCAUUUUAAUGGCUCCUUUGGAAGCUUUCGUUCUUUUCUUUUCUUUUCUUUACUAAGUUUAUUCAACUAUUCGCCUCUCCACGCAAGGAAGACGAAUUCUGGAACAUUGUUUGUUGAACCUUUCAAAUACCGCGCGAGGACAGAACAAAAGACCACGUGCUCCAGCGUGCGCCGGUCUCCAGCACGCGCACGCCGGUUUCAAAAGAUCCAGCGCGCCCCGAUGUCCAGCUCACGCACAUUGGACACUUUGCAAGUCACCGUGGCCACCAGAUCCAGUCUGUAUCCAGAUCAGAGGGUCACUGCAGUCGCCCGGAUCCAGUACGUAUCCAGACCACAUGGUGGAUCAGCACCUAGAAAGGACCUCUACUGCCCAGAAAGACAGCAGAGACCGGGACAACUAGAGCCCCAGAUACAGAUCCCCUGUAAAGACCUUGUCUCAGAGGACCACCAGGACAAGACCACAGGAAACAGAUGAUUCUUCUGCACAAUCUGACUUUGCUGCAGCCUGGAAUUGAACUACUGGUUUCGUCUGGUCAGAGGAGAACUGGCCCCCCAACUGAGUCUGGUUUCUCCCAAGGUUUUUUUUCCUCCAUUCUGUCACAGAUGGAGUUUCGGUUCCUUGCCGCUGUCGCCUCUGGCUUGCUUAGUUGGGGUCACUUCAUCUACAGCGAUAUCAUUGACUUGAAGGCAAAUAAAUGCACAGACACUAUUUAAACUGAACAGAGAUGACAUAACUGAAUUCAAUGAUGAACUGCCUUUAACUAUCAUUUUGCAUUAUUGAGACACUGUUUUCCAAAUGAAUGUUGCUCAGUGCUUUGAUGCAAUGUAUUUUGUUUAAAGCACUAUAUAAAUAAAGGUGAUUGAUUGAUUACGCGCGUCUGGAGGUCUCGCGGCACAGUAGACGCGAAUUCGCCUCAUUCACGCAUCUAGUUACAGAAGAUUCUGAGUUAUGAAAAGGACCAUUGCAAGCUGACAGCGACUGGCUUUUGUGGUGGAAUAUUGGCAGUAAUACCCCCACCUUGGGCAGCUGUACCUGAGUGUCCCUGGGACAUCAGUACGGUUAGAGGGAGUCUUCUCAACAGCUGGACAUAUAGUGAAUAAAAAAACGCUCUGCUCUGGACACCGAAAAUGUUGAUCAAAUUGUUUUCCAGUCCAAUAAAUUUGUAAUGGCCCUAGCCUUUUUGCACAUUUCGUUAUGCCUGCCUAAUGCCGCCUAGCCUAAGUGUCGGUUAUGUUCAAUAAAAAAAACACACAUGGUCUGUUCUCAAGUCCAUUUAAAGUUUCAUUUUUUGAACAGUUGUUUGAAAUAGAUUAAAUCAUUAUUUUAAAUAAUCUUGGAGAUUUUUGAAUUGCCUAAAUCAUAAAUGCAGCCGGGUUGAAGCCUGCAGUGAUGUUUUUCUUUUGCUAUGGCAGCCGUCCCCUCUGCAUAAAUAUAUUUUUCGAGAAUGUCUUAAAAAUUGAAAAUGAUUUUCUCACAAAAGUGACAGCCCUAGUAUAUAUAACAUUUUAAUAGAUAACUUGAACAAAGACCAAAGAUUAGAUUUACCCCAAUCAAAUUAUAUUUUAUCUUGAACCACUAAAGAGACAUCAGAGCUAGCGGAACAUAUCAAAAGGAAUAGCCGAGGUGAGAGUGCUCUAUGCAGAUACAUGAUCACUGAGCUCCCGCUAAUCGCAUGGAUAGGGCUGUGUACCGAACUUCGAUGCCUUUAUGGUAUCGAACGAAAAACUUUGAUACUAUGAGUAUUGAAAAAGUAUUUAUCUUUCGAUGCCAAAUCCCAAAAGCCAAGCGGCGUUUUUUUUUUUUUGCCAAGCGGCUGUGUCUGUGUGAGCUUGUAGCAUAUGUGCAUGUAAGGACCUAAAUUCGCCGUUACUGGCUGUCCACCACCACAUGACAUGACGGGGAGGAUUUCUGAAGAUACUCGCAGUCACUCAACACAAGUGUAGUUGUUUUUUCUCAAAACAUUUCCCUUUUACAAUGCCAAAGAGCUCUAAAGUGUGGCUACUCUUUAUAAAAGUGGAUGCCGAGUCAGAAAAGUGCAACAUAUGUGAUAAGAGGAUUGCAACCAAGCCGGCAAUACCACCAAUUUAAUUAAGCAUUUGUUUGGGUGAGUGUUUUAGCCUCCCUCACUGUUUAGUUUGGUCUACUCCAUUCCGUAUCUUGAAAACGCCCCCUUUCACGUUGACUAAAUAACAGAGAGAGAGAGGCUGCGUCCGAAAUCGAAUACUUCUCUACUAUAUAGUAUGGAAAAAGCAGUAUGCGACAAAUUAGUAUGUUUGAAUCUUUUGCGUUCAUAAAAGAGUAGGCGAGAAUUGCAAAAACUCUCGCGAGAUUCAGUUGUACGUAUACUUAAUUUGCGUUCUAAUAUGCCUGCUCACCUACUAUAUAUUAGGGAAAAAGAGUAUGUGAAGAAAGAAGUACGUUCGAAACCUUAAACCAUAAAACAGUAGGCGAGUAAUCCCCAGAUGUCCUACUGCUUCAGCGAAGAUUCUGAAGGGUUCAUCGAGGGAAACUUUUCAAUCCCAGAAUGCCACGCGAAAGGGAUAAAUCGUCAUCGAACGUGAAGGAGAGCAGCGUAGAGGGUGUUUACAAAGGUGAGUAUUAUAAAACAAAACACGGUUCCCAUGUGAUAAAAUCGUAUUUGUUGAGCUACUGUAGAGUAAACUGUUGAUUUGUUAAGAUGUAAAGACGCAAGCCAGUAACAUCAUAGUAUAUUUGUGAUGAAAAACAACAUCAAAACAUGUUUUAUUAUGUAAAGCAACAGCGGAUCUCCAGUAAGCAUAUGUAACGUUACGUCUCCAAAGUGGAUUUGCAUGACCCAUAUACAUCUUAAAGACGAUUAAUUGUCUGUUUAAUAUGAGACAGAGAAAUGUUCUAAGAGAACUUAAAAAGAGCAAAUCACAUGAACAGACAUUUGAGUGAGAGAUGUGUAUGUUAUUAUGUGUUUACAUUGCUUUAGAUGAAUGUAAGUAAUGUAAAUAAAUAAAUCUACAUUAAGUAAACAUAAGUUAUCUAUUUCAUUUGACCAUUAGUGUUGUUGAUAAUUGUGGAGCUCUUGUGUUGGAUAAAGUGAGUGAACACAUCAGCAUCUAUCUCAACAUGUAAAUGCAGUAUAUCACAGAUAAAUCAAAGAGACUGACUCUUGUCUGGAUGUUACAGGGACAGGGACAGUGUUUAUCUGCUGCAGAGAGACUGAUGAAGAAAUCAUGCCAUCAAAGAUUCUCAGUAAGUACACUACAGUCAUCAAAACAU
ensembl:lncRNA